rnacentral:rRNA from 1 species
AGAGUUUGAUCCUGGCUCAGGACGAACGCUGGCGGCGUGCUUAACACAUGCAAGUGGAGCGACGAACCAGGCUUCGGCCUGGGGCAGAGCCGCGAACGGGUGAGUAACACGUGGGUAACCUACCCCGAUGAUUGGGACAACCCGAGGAAACUCGGGCUAAUACCAAAUGUGCCCUACGACCACAAGGUCGCUGGGGAAAGGAAGCUUCGGCCUCCGCAUUGGGAUGGGCCCGCGGCCCAUUAGCUUGUUGGUGAGGUAACGGCUCACCAAGGCUGCGAUGGGUAGCUGGUCUGAGAGGACGAUCAGCCACACUGGGACUGAGACACGGCCCAGACUCCUACGGGAGGCAGCGGUGGGGAAUCUUGCGCAAUGCGCGAAAGCGUGACGCAGCAACGCCGCGUGGGGGAAGAAGGCCUUCGGGUUGUAAA